AGUGAACGCUGGCGGUAGGCCUAACACAUGCAAGUCGAACGGCAGCACAGUAAGAGCUUGCUCUUACGGGUGGCGAGUGCCGGACGGGUGAGGAAUACAUCGGAAUCUACUUUUUCGUGGGGGAUAACGUAGGGAAACUUACGCUAAUACCGCAUACGACCUACGGGUGAAAGCAGGGGAUCUUCGGACCUUGCGCGAUUGAAUGAGCCGAUGUCGGAUUAGCUAGUUGGCGGGGUAAAGGCCCACCAAGGCGACGAUCCGUAGCUGGUCUGAGAGGAUGAUCAGCCACACUGGAACUGAGACACGGUCCAGACUCCUACGGGAGGCAGCAGUGGGGAAUAUUGGACAAUGGGCGCAAGCCUGAUCCAGCCAUACCGCGUGGGUGAAGAAGGCCUUCGGGUUGUAAAGCCCUUUUGUUGGGAAAGAAAAGCAGCAGGUUAAUACCCCGCUGUUCUGACGGUACCCAAAGAAUAAGCACCGGCUAACUUCGUG
rnacentral:rRNA from 1 species